UGGAUCUCCUGGGCUUCCUGGAACAAGGACUAGUGAUUGUUUCGAGGAGCUGUCAUGGUGUUGGCUCUUGAUAUUUUAUCGUGAAACGCAGAUUUAAUGAUGACGGCGCGUCGGAACCCAAACGUCAAGAAUCGCCGACGUUCACGGAAGCAGCUACAAUGAGCGGAGAAUCUGAGAGCCAGGAAUGCGGAGCACCUAGCUACUACUGAAAUGGAGGACCCGGACCUGUUAGCGACAUGGAACUGACCAGGACCGUCGUGGGCUCCUCAUGUGCCACCCCCGGAUACCUUUUCUGAUUGUGGUGUUUACAGUACAGUGUACAUAUUCAUGAAAAAAAAAUUGUAGGUACUUUUUUACAUUUUUAAAAAACGCACUCUGCAUGGU